rnacentral:rRNA from 1 species
UGCAUAUCCAAUAAAGCGAGAGGAAAAAAGAAAAACCAAACAGGGAUUGCCUCAGUAAUCGGCGAGUGAAGCGGCAACAGCUCAAAUUUGAAAUCUGGCCUCACGGUCCCGAGUUGUAAUUUGUAGAGGAUGCUUUUGGCGAGGUGCUUUCCGAGUUCCCUGGAACGGGACGCCAUAGAGGGUGAGAGCCCCGUACGGUAAGACCACCGAGCCUCUGUAAAGCUCCUUCGACGAGUCGAGUAGUUUGGGAAUGCUGCUCUAAAUGGGAGGUGUACGUCUUCUAAAGCUAAAUACCGGCCAGAGACCGAUAGCGCACAAGUAGAGUGAUCGAAAGAUGAAAAGCACUUUGAAAAGAGGGUUAAAAAGUACGUGAAAUUGUUGAAAGGGAAGCAUUCAUGACCAGACUUGGGCUUGGUUGAACAUCCGGCGUUCUCGCCGGUGCACUCUGCCAGUCCAGGCCAGCAUCAGUUUGCCCCGGGGGACAAAGGCGGUGGGAAUGUGGCUCUCUUCGGGGAGUGUUAUAGCCCGCCGUGUAAUGCCCUGGGGCGGACUGAGGAACGCGCUUCGGCACGGAUGCUGGCGUAAUGGUCAUCAAUGACCCGUCUUGAAACACGGACCAAGGAGUCGUCUUCGUAUGCGAGUGUUCGGGUGUCAAACCCCUACGCGUAAUGAAAGUGAACGUAGGUGAGAGCUUCGGCGCAUCACCGACCGAUCCUGAUGUUCUCGGAUGGAUUUGAGUAAGAGCAUACGGGGCCGGACCCGAAAGAAGGUGAACUAUGCCUGUAUAGGGUGAAGCCAGAGGAAACUCUGGUGGAGGCUCGCAGCGGUUCUGACGUGCAAAUCGAUCGUCAAAUAUGGGCAUGGAGCGAAAGAC